GGAAAGCCACACUGAGAGCUGCCCUGGGGAGGUGUCCCUGUGGCCAGGAACUGAGGGCAACCCUCCAGCCAACAACCAGCGAAGAACUGAGGCUCUCGGCCCAACAGCCUGCGUGGAAUGGAAUCCCACCAACAACCAUGGCAGUGAGCUUGAAAGUGGCCCCUCCCCAUCUCGAGCCUGAGAUGACCACAGCCCCAGCUGGACCGGGAACGCAGCCUGCAGACUCUGAGAUGGAGGACUCGGAAACACCUGCUGUGUGGAGAACGGAUCAGAGGAGGGCAAGACAGCAGAGAGGAAGACCAGGAAGGAGGCAGGUGGGAUGGUCCAAGGGAGAGUUAAUGGGGCCUGAAGUGGCAGCAAUGGAAACGGAAUGGAGGAAGCAGAUUCAAGAGAGUGGCUGGAGAGAGGAUGAGGGUCAAGGACGACAUGGGGUUAUGAUCUGCACCUCUGGAAGGUGGUACCACCGUCCACCGAGGAAUGAGCCACAGAAGAGAGGAAGCCAGUCGCAGGUGAGGAGAGGGGAAGUGCCAAGUUCAGUUUCAGAGUCUUACAGGACAUCCAAAAAGACAUACCCCACGGAAAGCUGCAAGCAGGAUCCAGAGCUUAAGAAAGAUGGCAAGUCGGAGACCUCAUUUAGACACAGUUGUACACUCUCUCCAUCACUAUCAUUUGGUACAUAUGUCUCCAGGUCCUAAAGUAUCUCAUUCAAAACUUCUUCCCGGCUUUGCCUGAGCCUUGCUGUGGUUUUUUCUGCCUUUUUUCUACAUUUUCUCUUUCUAAUCCUGAGGAAGUCAGUCAUGCAAGACAUAAUGAGAAUGCUGAGACUUGCCUGUGUUGAUCUGAAUUUUGGCACAAGAUUCAUAAAGAGAAUAGUGACUUUUAUGCUCAGAUGAGGAAACUGAGGUUUGGCCAGGUCAGAACCACCCACUGGACCAAGAAAAGACAUGAGAUGUGAGCUAUAUACAUGUGUGUGUAUAUAAUAUACAGAUCUUCUUUGACUUAUAAUGG
rnacentral:lncRNA from 1 species